rfam:Aliiglaciecola lipolytica E3 DNA, contig: CTG037.
UGGCUCGGCUGAAUUAGUGAUCGGCGAGUCUUCAUUUAAUUUGGAGAAAAUUAUGUCACUAACUACUCAAGAAACUGCACAAAUCAUUUCCGACUUCGGCGUUAAAGAA